UCUUUGGAGUGCGCCUCUGUCAAUCAUAGAAGUCCAAGGAAAGGAUUGGCCCCUGGCGAUCAGCCUGCUGCGCUGCUCCGCCUGAUUGGGACGCUGGCCGCGCCAUCUCCAAACUCUAUUCCUGUCCUUGACCCUCACCUGUUCAAAAGGCUGGGAGGAAGUUGGGGCUGGUGGGUGCCCCGGCGGGUUGCUGACCAACUAGUCGCUUCCCUCCACCAGCAUCUACAUAGUUUGAUCGCAACCAUUCCUCUGAGACUGCCUGGGCUAAAAGUCUCCGGUGACUUUCUUAUGGUUAAAUCUACGUGUCUCAGUCAAUCCUUGUCUGCUCAGAAAACAUUCGACUUGUUGACCAUUUCUUCAGGGUUUUCCAAUUUGGUUACCAUUUAAAUCUGCUUAUUUUAAAAAGGGGGAUAAGAACUGGAACAAGUCAAAAACAAAAUGGUUUUGCAGCAUCACUGACUAAAAUAAUGACUGUAAUUUCAAGGCACUUUCAGAAGCGUGAGUCACUACCUUUGCUUGAAUGUUCAAUGGUAGCCUGUCUGUCUUACCCCUCUGCUCAUUUGAAGCAUGUUUUAUGAAUGCGGCCUGACGCCAAUCUGCUGGUGGACAUCCCAUUACAAAAAUUAUUGCACUAGAAGAAGGAUGAUAAUGGAAUGAAAGGAAGGCAGACUUUAAAGAAAAAAACAAAAACAGACCAAGGGACAAAGCCAUAGAUGAAGAGAUGGUAUAUCCUCUUGAACCUAACCUUACAAUCAGGAAGUACAGCUCCUCCUACUGUGAUAGACUUGACACAUCAUUGAUACUGGCAUGUCAGAGAUCCAGAGCAGAGGGUGAGCCCUCAGUAUUAAUGGUCCAUGGAUAAUGAAGUCACAGUGAUUGGCAAGGUCAGAAAAAUAUAACCACUACUCAUGGACUAUGUGUUUGUGGUUGAAUUCAUUGAGAAUUCUGAACAUAAUCAUUUUUCAAUAAAGCAAAUUAGAUCAAAUAAAAACACUACCUUUACAUGAUGAUGCAAAAUGAGAACAAGAUCAGUUAUUAAUGGA